rnacentral:rRNA from 1 species
UGAACUCCACAUCCGCAUCCUUUGCUGAGGAUACGGUUAACGGAGCGAAAGCGACGUUCAACCGCAAAACAAGCAGAGGGGGCUUAGUGGUGGGGUGACUGCGUACCUUUUGUAUAAUGGGUCAGCGACUUAUAUUCUGUAGCAAGGUUAACCGAAUAGGGGAGCCGGAGGGAAACCGAGUCUUAAUUGGGCGUUAAGUUGCAGGGUAUAGACCCGAAACCCGGUGAUCUAGCCAUGGGCAGGUUGAAGGUUGGGUAACACUAACUGGAGGACCGAACCGACUAAUGUUGAAAAAUUAGCGGAUGACCUGUGGCUGGGGGUGAAAGGCCAAUCAAACCGGGAGAUAGCUGGUUCUCCCCGAAAGCUAUUUAGGUAGCGCCUCGUGAAUUCAUCUCCGGGGGUAGAGCACUGUUUCGGCUAGGGGGCCAUCCCGGCUUACCAACCCGAUGCAAACUGCGAAUACCGGAGAAUGUUAUCACGGGAGACACACGGCGGGUGCUAACGUCCGUCGUGAAGAGGGAAACAACCCAGACCGCCAGCUAAGGUCCCAAAGUCAUGGUUAAGUGGGAAACGAUGUGGGAAGGCCCAGACAGCCAGGAUGUUGGCUUAGAAGCAGCCAUCAUUUAAAGAAAGCGUAAUAGCUCACUGGUCGAGUCGGCCUGCGCGGAAGAUGUAACGGGGCUAAACCAUGCACCGAAGCUGCGGCAGCGAACGUAUCACCCAAGACAACUUUACGGAGUUGACGAUUGACGGAGCGAAGCGACGUCAAAGCGUUCAUUAAAGUCGAGUUGGCUUAGGGAUACGUUCGUUGGGUAGGGGAGCGUUCUGUAAGCCUGUGAAGGUGUGUCGUGAGGCAUGCUGGAGGUAUCAGAAGUGCGAAUGCUGACAUAAGUAACGAUAAAGCGGGUGAAAAGCCCGCUCGCCGGAAGACCAAGGGUUCCUGUCCAACGUUAAUCGGGGCAGGGUGAGUCGACCCCUAAGGCGAGGCCGAAAGGCGUAGUCGAUGGGAAACGGGUUAAUAUUCCCGUACUUGGUGUUACUGCGAAGGGGGGACGGAGAAGGCUAUGUUGGCCGGGCGACGGUUGUCCCGGUUUAAGCGUGUAGGUGUGUGUUCCAGGUAAAUCCGGUUCACUUUAACACUGAGGCGUGACGACGAGGCACUACGGUGCUGAAGCAACAAAUGCCCUGCUUCCAGGAAAAGCCUCUAAGCAUCAGGUAACAUCAAAUCGUACCCCAAACCGACACAGGUGGUCAGGUAGAGAAUACCAAGGCGCUUGAGAGAACUCGGGUGAAGGAACUAGGCAAAAUGGUGCCGUAACUUCGGGAGAAGGCACGCUGACACGUAGGUGAAGUGAUUUACUCAUGGAGCUGAAGUCAGUCGAAGAUACCAGCUGGCUGCAACUGUUUAUUAAAAACACAGCACUGUGCAAACACGAAAGUGGACGUAUACGGUGUGACGCCUGCCCGGUGCCGGAAGGUUAAUUGAUGGGGUCAGCGCAAGCGAAGCUCCUGAUCGAAGCCCCGGUAAACGGCGGCCGUAACUAUAACGGUCCUAAGGUAGCGAAAUUCCUUGUCGGGUAAGUUCCGACCUGCACGAAUGGCGUAAUGAUGGCCAGGCUGUCUCCACCCGAGACUCAGUGAAAUUGAACUCGCUGUGAAGAUGCAGUGUACCCGCGGCAAGACGGAAAGACCCCGUGAACCUUUACUAUAGCUUGACACUGAACAUUGAGCCUUGAUGUGUAGGAUAGGUGGGAGGCUUUGAAGUGUGGACGCCAGUCUGCAUGGAGCCGACCUUGAAAUACCACCCUUUAAUGUUUGAUGUUCUAACGUGGACCCGUAAUCCGGGUUGCGGACAGUGUCUGGUGGGUAGUUUGACUGGGGCGGUCUCCUCCUAAAGAGUAACGGAGGAGCACGAAGGUUGGCUAAUCCUGGUCGGACAUCAGGAGGUUAGUGCAAUGGCAUAAGCCAGCUUGACUGCGAGCGUGACGGCGCGAGCAGGUGCGAAAG